GCCUGGGUAGCUCAGUAGUUGAGCAUCUGCCUUUGGCUCAGGUCAUGAUCCCAGUGUCCUGGGAUUGAGUCCCACUUCAGGCG
rnacentral:tRNA from 1 species